GGGUGGUUAGCUCAGUUGGGAGAGCGUCGCCCUUACAAGGCGAAGGUCGCAGGUUCGAACCCUGCACCACCCACCA
rnacentral:tRNA from 1 species